ensembl:lncRNA
GAUUUGCACUUGCCAGUUGUCUAGCACAGAGUUUUUGUUGCAUCCACUAUUGGCAUAAUAGAGAGAAUGGCAGAAAUCUGACAGCGCUAAAAACAAUCUCUGUGGCAGGCUUAGUUUAUUAUCCAUUGUAACUAUAUGCCUUCAAACUCACCCCCUAUCUGAUUUGCUGUUAUUAGAACACUUUUUAUAACCCAUUUUUCAGAUGAGCAAGAGAUCAGUUUGGCUAGAGUCAGAAAAACCUAAGCAUUUUCACAGCAAUAAAUCUGCUUGUAUAAUGAUUGGUUUUUUUUUUUUUUGUUUUGUUUUGUUUUUGGUUUUUUCCCAUCAGUUGCAGCUCUUCACAUCCUAAAUAGCCCACUGAGUGGAGAUUGAAUGAUGGACAUUUGAGACGUGAUCUGUCAUUUGAGAUUCAUUACAGGGUUUGUACAUUGGACUUAGGACCAAACUGCCACUUGUGAUGUCAUUUUGCUGGGCUAUUUCCUUUUGGCUCUGGCUAUAGCCUCAAAGAAAAUGUGUUGGCAGCCUUGUGCUCCUCUAGCUGGCCUUUGUUUGAUGGUCCAGAACUUGGAGCUGUUGCCCUGGGUAGUAAAACUAAUUUGAAUGUUUCUGGUAUCAAGAACUUUCCUAUGCUUUUUGUUUGUUUAAAUUCUGUUUGUGACAUUUCUGAUCUUUGCUCUGGAGCAAUAAGCACUGUAGGUGGGAGGUCAAGAGUCCAUUGACCUAUGUAGUAGUCAGGGCAUAAAUUACGAAAGCAGGCCUGAUAACUUGUUUGAAACAUGCACAAAUUCUGCAGCUGAUCGUAUUACUAAAAAUUAAGCACACUGAGAUAUAGAACUGUUGAAGACAAAUAUUCUGUUUAUUACUACAACUAUAUUCAGUUCAAGAGCAUUCUUACAUUAAAAAACCAAUACCCUAGAUAAAAUAAUUUCAGAAGCAUUCGAUAGUUAAAAAUAUAUAUUUUGGUAGAGUAUGAGUAAUAUGAUUCUCUAAGAACUAAAUGGUAUAUGAAAUAGGUAAUCUUCAACUAUUUCUGAGCUUAAAGUAAGCAUAAACACCUCUUUGGCUGGUCACUGGUAUUAGGAAAACAACCUGAAGUUAAAUUUCAGAGCCAGAAAUUUGACAGAAAUAUUCUUUACAUUAUUUUACUAAGACAUAUCUCUUACCAACGAAGGCAUGACAGAAUGAACUCAAAAAUUACUGCAGAAAAAAAAAAAAAAAAGGAUAUGUUUUUUUAACAUUACUACAUUACCCUUUCCUUUCCUUUCCUUUCCUUUCCUUUCCUUUCCUUUCCUUUCCUUUCCUUUCCUUUCCUUUCCUUUCCUUUCCUUUCCUUUCCUUUCCUUUCCUUUCCUUUCCUUUCCUUUCCUUUCCUUUCCUUUCCUUUCCUUUCCUUUCCUUUCCUUUCCUUUCCUUUCCUUUCCUUUCCUUUCCUUUCCUUUCCUUUCCUUUCCUUUCCUUUCCUUUCCUUUCCUUUCCUUAUUUUCCUUCCCUUCCCUUCCCCUCCCUUCCCUUUCUUUUUUCUUUUUUUCUUUCUUUUUUUUACUUUAAAUCAAAUGUUAGCUCUUUUCCUUCUUCUCCAGUCAUUCAGAUAAAAUAAAUGCCUACCAAGCCCUCAGUCCCUAGUACAUUUGGAGGUGGAUAAGGCAGUGCAAGAUGGUGCAAAGGGCUGCAGCACAUGACCACAGUUGAGGAUCUCUGCAGACCUGGAGCACCCACAGCGUCCUUUGCCUAGUCAGGAGGGUAAAAAUGAAACUACGUUCUCAAUACAUCACCACGUUUCUCCUGCUAUAGGAGUGAAAACAAAGAUGAACCUAGAAAGAGAUUAUCUUAUCAGGUUAGGGCGCAGUUUAGUACAAGGCAAUUAGAAGAAGUUGCUGUGUGGAGCAGAUAACCUCAGAUCUGGACUCCCUCACAGCAGCUCCCAUCCUAUCCCAUCCCACUCCACCCCACGCCACCCGAUCCUCACCCUUCCCAUCCCAUUCCAUCUCAUUCCAUUGUGUUCUCUGCACUUGCCUUUCAGGGUGUGUAAAAAGUACAGAGCUUGCCAUGAGCCCUCAGAUUGGGGUACACUUGAAAAGUCUUUGCAGGAAGUAUAUUUCUUCUCUCCCAUGAAGAGAGCAAAGCAAAGCAGGAGCAAAGCAGUAUUUAUAUUUGUGUGUAUAUGCUCUCAGUUCACAUGCCAUUCUUUACAUCUCCACAGAAUGCUCAUAUGAAGUAAUAUCCUGAUACUUGCUGUGAAGAGAAAAUGAGGUUUUAAAAGGUCAGUUUGGGCUCAAAAUAUCCUCAUGCUUCUGCCAUAUAGCUCCAGGGUAUGACAGACACUCAAAGAAAUAAAUAAAAAUAAACAAAUAAAGCGAAAUAGCAAUUAAAUUCCUAAGCCCUAUUUCAACCAACUCUUCAGGGCUUCUUUUUCCAGAGCAGACUGUUUUCUCUUGCAGUUUUGUAGGAAAUUAUGCAAGAAAGAGUUUUAAAUUUUCUUUUCAUUGCUUGCAUGACAGGUAAAUCACAGGGAGAUUAUACUUAUUUUUUUUUAGAAAGUACCAUCCUUCAUUGCAAGUUUAAGAUGCAAAUAACAAUGAAUAUACAGACUUAGAAGAAAUUGUUUGCUGGAGUUAAUAUUCCUGGGUGAACGCUGCAACUCUAAUUAAGUUCUUAGGGACAUUUCAGUAGACAAUUUAAACAAUUAGUAUUAUGUGUGUAACUUCAGCAUCACAUUUGAGUGUUGGACAUUUGUCUUCUUAAAACCCAGGCAACUUAAAAUGGAACAAUUAUGUAAAUACAAAGCAGAGAGGGAAACAGCUACACAACUGUCUCUUCAUCUAUCUCAACAAAAUUGUUCAGUGACAUCAGGUUCUUUCUUGAGAUUACCAACCUAUGUCUACCUCAGCAAAACACAUGAGUCACUGCAAAUCGUGCAGACAUCUGGGGAAUAAUUGUUGCACUAGGCACUCUCAAAUAUUUAUUACAUCCCAAAACACAUUUCAUACUUUUCUAUGCCUGCGCAUAAGUAUUUAAAUGUGUAAUUGUUUAAUCAUAGAACAAUGCAACAAAAUAAGAUAAGUAGUCUUUUCAUAAAAAUUGAAGGAAGUCCCAAACAUCUGUGUUCGGAGGACCAUAUCCUCCAUAUGUUGCAAAAUGAAGAUGAGCUUUUAACCAGAUCAUUGCUAGGUGGCACUGUGACACAAUUGGGUAGCUGGAGGUAACAGAAGGUGCGAGAAGCACAGUGCAGAGCUUUCCUGACCGUGGCGUGGUGAUACGUGAUGAACGCUCAACCAGUUCUGCUGUCAUGGGUGAUUACAAACAUCCUUUGCCUGUAUGACACUAAAUACUCAAAUUUCUCAGGUACUUCCUUCCCUUCUUGGGUGCUAUCUGAAGUCAUUUGUAUAAUCUUGCUAGAGGUAGGAAAUAUUCUUUCUACAUGACAAGAUCUACCUGAAUCACAGGAGUAUCUGCCAGAGUUCCUGUCAUGAUGCAUAAUAAUUAGUGUCUGUUGGGUUCAUCUCCUAUUUUCUCCACUUACACUUUCACUAUUCUCAUCUCAUAAACAAAGAAUUAUGAACAGCUGUCAAUGCCAUAUAUGAAAGAGUAUUUCUACUAUUAUUUUAUUUUUUUUACUGUUUGAUAUUUUUUAAGAUAGAUAAGCAUCAGCAAAGACAUUUGAAAUAACACUUGACAACUUGAUCUUUAUGUAAUGUUGGAGAAAAUAUUUUUGUUCCUUCAUCUUAGGCAUGAUAUGCUUCUUUUAGGAUCUUGGAAAAGAGCAGUCUAGAGAAUAAGGGACUGGGGACAGAUUGAUUGAACAACCUAUACAUAUUAUUUGCAAAGACGUUUUCAUUCCAUGUUGCUCUCCAUACUAUUUUUUGUUUCAUUUGAUUUGUUUUUCAUAAGGAGAUAGACAGCAGGACUGAGGUAUCAUUGCACUACAUUAGACAAGUGAGGGCAUAAACACCUUGAAAAUAAAGGCGGUGAGAUCCAGAGAACUGAAAGUCUCCUACCUUUUAUAGGUCACCGGUUCAAAGAGCUGCUGGAUUUCCUCUGCUCCCACUUUAGUCAGUUCUCCACCUCAGAGACACUUAAACAAAGAGGUUUCAAAUGGGAAAAUGGUGCUUUCAGGUCCUCCUCUCCAAAAUGCAUGGGCUUAGACACAGUGAGUUUGAUGCCACACUCGCAGAUCGAUUAAGAUUCUGUGAGAAACCUGAACUUUCUUUCUUUCUCAGUUUGUUCUGAUUGCUGUCUUUUGGCUUGCUAAGAUUCUCCACAGACUCAAAGACUAAGAUAAAAUCAGUUGUAUCUCAAGGUGAAUAAAUGAUCACCUACAGUAUCAUCACUGGUUGUUUCGAAUAGCUGACUAGAACUCACUAAUUUGCACCUUUUUCCUUCUCUGCCUCCUGUCCUCGUGCCCAAGAUAAUCACCAUUUAUAACUUAUUCUGAAUGUCCAGUAAACAUCUGAUCUAGCCUUUUUACUAAGAGUGAGCAAGCACAGAAAUAAUUAAAUAUAACAACUUGAUUUCAUUGUAAAGAUUUGCAGAUUCAUUAAUGCUUUUCUCUUAUCCCUUUCCAGAAGCAAAUAAUAUUAAAGUAGGCAACUGUACAAUGUUGGGCAGUGGUGUGACAAACAACAUAGUGACUUGAAGAUACUAAGAGACAAAAUAUUAAUAUUAGAUCAUAUAAAUAGAUAGAUAGAUAGAUAGAUAGAUAGAUAGAUAGAUAGAUGGAUAGAUAGAUAGAUAGACACUCCUCCCAACAUUACUUCUUAGAUCCAGUGAUGUAGCUUAAAUCAAUUUUGAGUCACAUAUGAAUUUUGCAAAUAAAGCACAGUAUUAAGUCUGUGCAGCUACUACUGUCAAGUGACUAUUCAUAAUACAGUAAAUUUAAGCAAGUGUACCAUCUCAUAGGUAAAUAUUUCAUUAAUAUAUAGUACAUAUGUAGAUGACUGAAAGUAACGCCUCCUAUUUAUUUCCAUGGAAACUACAACCAAUUCAAAGAGAACAAUAACACUAUAAGAUAGAGAAAAUUCUCAGCUACCAAACAAUGUUUUUCAACAGUCACCACCAGUAGUUAUGCAUUUUUUGCACCAGCAGAGGUGACCCACUGUUUCAUGGCUGCUAUGAUAACACCCUUGCUAGGAUGUGUGUUGCCCAUGCAGUCAGUCCUUCGCCGGCCCAAACAGAUGAAAGUCGAAAGGUGCCAAAUCCAUACUGUACCAUGGCCAUGGUAGGACAGUCCAGCCAAGAUUGGCAAUGUACUCCAUGGCCUUCAAACUGGUGUUUUGGGGUUCUGGUGUUAUCAUGUUGCAACAGAAAGGGUGCCUUUUUCUUUGUGCUGACUCUGAAAGUUCAACACUUAGUCAACGUUGUGAUGUAGCAGUCAGAGUUGAUGUUUUGUCUGGGUUUCAGGAAAUCCUUCAGAAAUUGCCCCUUUCCUAUGUCAAAGGACAGUGCAUAUUCCUUUACUCGGUAAGGGCUAUGUCUUGAAAUUGUUCUUUGAUGGGGAAUUCACAUAUCACUAGUCUGUGGUCUGCCAUUUUGACUCUGUCUUGUAGUGGUGACACCACGUCUUGUCACCAGUAAUGAUGUGAUCCAGGAAAACUGUCACCUUUAGCCUCACAGUGAUUCAGUAGAUCCUGACAAGCUUGCAUAUGGUGUUCUUUCUGUCCCUGUGCGAACAUCUGUGGGACCCAUGAGGUGCAAACUUUGUGAUAUUCCAACAUUGCCACCAUCAUUUCUAAUGCACUGCAGCCAAUAUUCAGCUCCAUACACAGAUUCCUGGUCAUAAUCCACCAAUUAGUGCAGAGGAGCUGAUGGAGACUUUCAUAACGUGGUAUGACAGCUGUACAUAGCUGCCCAGAAUGUGGUUUGUCUUUCAUGGCAUGCCUAAGCGCAUCACCCCUCCAUCUCACCAUGCUGACAUACACUGUUUCAUCUCCAAAAACAUUCAGCAAGCAUCAAUGAGUGUCAGCUUUUUCCACAUAGAGGAAUUCAAUGCCACAUCUUUGCUUCAUCCUCUCUUCAGUGUUGGACGCCAUUGUGUCCGACUGCCCCUCUGCUGCCAUCUCUCUCACAGCAACAACAUAUGACAGGAUGUUGGUGGGAAGGUUCAACCUCUACUGCCAUACCACGAACAUCCACCACUAAUGUCGUGAGCCAAAGUCAUAAAAUAGGAGACAUUACCUUCAGAGCAGCCCUUGCAACUUUCUUCAGAAGAUAAGAAAGCAAAACGACCAAAAACUUUACAAGAAAGAAAAAGUGCCUACUUGCAACAGUAAAAGAAAUAUUUUACCAGUUUCACUUUUACAAAACAGCUGCAAAUACAAUACAAAUAAACAUAAAUCUGUAGAGAAAUACUUGAUUCUACUGUAAGUGCAGCAUCUUUUUAAUAGAAGCAAUUUGUUCAGUGGAUUUAGCUUUCUUAAUUUAUUUAGCUCAGGAGGAGCUGGUUCUACAUAAGCACAGUGCAACACAGAACUCACAUAACAGUCUCUUCUUGAGAGUGCACUAUUCAAAGCAAAUAGCUGGAAAGCACUUUAUUCCAAAAGCUCUCAGUUGGCCUUCCAUCAUCCUGGGAACAGUAGAUGAAGUGCUCUGUAUCUCCUGCUAAAUAUAUGUAUGUACAUUACAGGUAUAAAGUUAUACUCACCAACUUUACAAAGUUUUGCAUUGAUGGAAAUAAGAAAGUACCAUCUUGAGCUCUGAGAUCAUUCUUAAUUUGCUCUCUGGUUGACAGAAGUCAGAAAUUAUUCUACACAAGUCAGGAGUAUUAAUACAUUGUCAGAUUGGUAUGAAGAAGAGAAGAACUAGGCCCAGAGCUGGCAAACAUAUAUUUCUGGUUAUUCCAUAAAUUAAUUUUCAAGUUCAGAAUCACUGCCUUUUCCAAAUGUCCAUUACUGUUGCUGUAUAAACCACAGAUUAACAUAUGCAUACAUACCAAGGUUUUCUUUAAGUCUGCAGGUAUGGUGGAAAGCUGGAAACUUUAUAGACUUUGUGCAGAAUCACUGAAGUUAAAACAGAAACACAAAAGUAGAGACACAUUGACCUAUAUUUAUGGAUAUUGUAUAUUAAGAUAUUUUACUUAAAGAGAUUAACUUAUAUUUAUUUUUUAAAAAAUUAGAUGGAUCAUAGCUAAGAACUACUGCAUUUUUGUAGUAAUAAUGUACACAUUACUCAGAAGCAAGAAAGGUGUGAUCAAAAUGUUAUCUAGUUUCAGUGUAUAUUAAUUUAAAAAGAAAAACGUUUGAUCUUAUAGUAAACCUUCAGAAAAUUCAACAAGACUGAUAUAUAAAACAAAACAGCUCAUUGUAACAAAUAUAGCACAUUAAAACUUUUUGUAUUUUCUUCAAUUUUUAUUCUUACAGGAGAAAUGAUAUCACUCACUAAAUAUGAAUGCUGCACAUGUUAGCAAUAGAAAUAGUGAUUUUUGUAACUUUGCACUUGCCUUAACUUUUCCACACAUAUAUACAAACACAAUUAACAUAUGUAAGAAAAAAAAAAAAAAAACAGAAUUACGGAAUUGAGGGAAAUAAAAUCCACAAAAGUAGGCAAGUUCUGUACCGGAUACAAUUUUUUGUAUUAUUUAAUGAAUAAUGACUCAUGAGCAUACUUACUAGAAUCCUUGUAAAGAGUAUAUGAGCACAUGAUACUGUAGGUUUGUUAAAGCACAAGGUGUACUUUGUCUAGAUUAAAAAAAAAAAGAAACAAACAACAAAAAAAAACCUUUUUGUGUGACUUUGCUUUAGGUUUACGAAAGUUGGAUGUUUAAAAAAUAUCUUUAUUACUUGAAUAUGAAUAUUUUUGUAUAAUAAUAUCUGAAGAAGGUUUUAAAAGAAACAAACAAAAAAUAUAACCUACUUGCUUUAUGGUGUGCAACUUUUAGAGAAAAAUAAACAGGGUAUGUGUCCAGUUUGUAAAAAAAAAAGUGUUCUCCUUUCAAGAUUACUCUUUCACUGGCUAAAUGCAAGGUUAUGACAACUUGAAAUACAUUCUUUUUUCUUUUUUUUUUUUUUUUUUUUUUUGUGAACCAACAAAAAAAUAAAGCAAUGUGAGUAAGUUGCGUAUGCAAGCUUUUUUAAAAGGAUUUUUUUUUUUUUUCUAAUAGCAGUAUGAAUUUAACAACAUAAUAGGGAAGGCUUGGAAGGUUCCAGUUCUAUGGUUUGACUUGCAUGACAUACUGGGCUGGAAAAUAUACAUGGGUUAAAUUGGUACAGCUUCAACCAGAUGCAAUGGAACUGUUCUGGCUUACAUCAGCAGGAAACGUGACCUUUUGCAUAAGAGUAUGUAUAACAGUAAAUGUCCCUCCAUUAAUAUUUUCUUUCCUUUUGUUUUCCUUUUGUUUUGUUUCUUAUUUAUGAGACAUAUAUUCUAUGUGUAUAAUUUUCUUAAAAACACAUGGUGAAUCAAGUAGUACAGUCUCACAACUCUCUGAAUGAAAGAUUGUGUGCAAGUCUGUGCUGGACAUCUGCAUUCCUCUAUUUUUCUACCUGUUUAGCUCCUCUGAAACAACAGCAUACCCAAGAAACAGACGAAUAUGGCAGUGAGUAGGGAUUUUUGGUGCUUGUGUGAUGUGUGUGAACAGAGUGGAAGAGCCUGAGUGAUAAUGGAACUGUAGAGAAACAGAACGAGCUCAGAUCACAGCAAUGUUAUCACUGUACACGUGAAAGCUAACAGGAAAAUGUCCAAGCAGGCAUUAUUGAAAACCUGAAUUCCUGCUUUUCCUUUUGAAAUUUGUUGAAUGCCUGAGUCAGGAAAAAUUCCAUCCUUGAUUUUCUGAACAAACUAUAAGGUCUGUUGUUCUUUUCUUGACUGCAGUGGCAUAAAUCAGGAGUAUCACUAUCUAGUGCAAGGAGUUAGCAUUCAUCUUACAGUCAUUUGACUUGGAAUCACUGUCUUUUUAGCUUUUCCAUCAAGACCCUCUUCUCCUCAACUUUCUGAAAGAAGUAAGAAACAUACUUAUUUCCAUUCCUCCAUUUUAUUUUAUUUUUUUCAUCUAUAUAAACCUUCAGAUUCCAAGAGGAUUGUUCCACAUUUGAAACUAUGUGACACAGAUCUUUAAACAUUGCAGUAACGGAUAGGCACCAAGUCACAGUAGUUCUUACAAAGGCUGUACAUACACCAUAGCUAGAGCUUAAGUCUGCAGAAGAGAUAGCAUUCUUCUUGAUCCAGGGACCCAGACCAUAGAUAUGCUGAUGUGGUUUUAGUUCAUGGGUGUCAGAAGACUUUGAAGACAUGACAGAUGGAUCCGUUUACCUGCAGCAACAUGUAUUUAAACGUACUUUUUAUAAAAACAUUUUAUUUUGCAGCUGGAGUCUGGAGCCUGGAGUCAAGCUGACAUAUAUUACAAGAUACUGUUCCUACAGGCAGUCACCUUUCUGUAUUUUGAAGCUGUCUGUUACAUCUACUUCUCAUGAAAUUUUUUUAUUUGCCAUCUGAAAUAUGAAUAAGACCAUCUGAUUAAAAAAUCAUAGUUUAACCAAUAUCAGUAUGAUUCAUUGGCCUGGUAUGGUGGCAAGAAAUAUAUUUAGCAUUCUGUUAAACAUCGUAUGAAUUACAAUUGCUCAACUGUCAGCAUGUCAAGUGCUCAGAACUAUGGGAUCCACUGUAAAUUCAAAAUAUUUAUGUAUAUUUAGUUACAUUUUUUUAAAUAUUGAUAUUAAACAGACAUUAAUAAAAAAAUAAAUAACAUUCUUUACUACAUUACUCUGCAUUCCUUACUGCUCUUAGACUUACUAUUGAGAUGAAUACAAAUGCAGGAAUUAUGUUAAUUUCUGGUAUUCUUUCCCAAAAUUAUACAUAUGUAAAUGAGGAGGCACGCCAUAUAGUGCUGCAUACUCGAGGAGAGACAACCAAAGGAAAAAGUAAGUAAACAAGAUUUCUUGGAAGGCACUCAACUUCUGGUUCCAAAAUGUAAAUAAAUACAGAGUAAAAAGACAAACAGAAAAGGAAAAAAAGAAAUAGUGAGCUCCAGUUCUGAUGAAAAUACUUAGAGUGCUUCUGGCAAGCUUGCUUGGAGACUCCUGACCUGCACCAUACGGAGGGGCAAACUGAGACUACACGUUUCAUGACUGACAAAACCACAGAAUCAUUCCUGUUUCCUUUUCUACUACUAUGAGCUCUCCUCUUCACGCAGUCCUUCGCUUCAGCACUAUGAAACUUGAAUGCAGGAAAUGAAGUUCCUGAACGUUAGGAACUACUGCUUUCUUGAGUUUCCUGGAUUGCCGCGUUAUCAUUAUCACUGAUUAUUAUUUACUGUUUUACAAUAACAUUAUUUAGUUGAUAAAUUUUCCCUCUUCUUUCCUCAGUACUUAAUUCCUUUCUACAUUUUUGCCAACAUGCUUUUAUAUCUGUUUGAUUUUGGUUUGUUUGUUUAUUUGUUUUUCAUAUUUACUUUCCAUAAGUAAUUGAAUUGGUAAUUAAUGAAGAACUGUGUAUCAUUUAAGAUAAAGCUUUGUCUGUGUAGGAAUUUAGUGUGGUAUUUAUAUUUGAAAAAUAGACUCCAGAAAAUUAGUCAGAUUUCUAAACUGCUCUACUUUCCAGUUGCAUUCAGCAUAUAGUGAUAUACACACCACAAAAUCAAAUUGCUCUUCUACUGGGUCAUAAUCACUGAUAGAACUUAACCAGUUCAGUAUAUUCUCCAUAAUAACAUUAUAGAGGAUUAUGCACCAAACAAAGUAAAGCUAGAACAGAUUAUCUGCCCUUUAUAUGCCACUCAAUUCUGUCUUGAGAAAUUAGGUGUUGUCUAUCAUGAGAUACAGUAUUGGCUAUAAUGGUGACAGCUGUCAAAAGCUGACAGUCCAAAUAUUUGGUGUGGGAAUAUACAGUGGCUUCUCUGACCUCAACAUUGGGUAUGCUGACAGCAACAGCCAUGAGAUUUUGUUUCCAGCAUUUUUAAUUCUGCAUGCUCUAGGAGCAUCGUAAGUGUUAGUCUGACUGGAAAGAGUGUAAAAUCACUAAUAGGAGGAAUUUACCUUGAAAGAGAAUGAAAGAAUGGAGCUAUUCCUCCUCUGCUGGUUCAAAUCUCAUCCCAUUCAGAUGUGCCUCCACCUGGCCUUUCUUGGUACCAGAUUCUGGCACCAAACAGAUGAGAGUGACGAUGCUGAGUCAUACCAUUUGAAUCCUCUCAUGCAGUGCUGUCUCAGCCUUCUCUAAAGUCCCUAUUGUAAUAUGUGUCUUCUAAGUCUCUCAUGGAUGUGACUACUGAUAAUACACUCUACACAGUCACAGCAUUUCAUGCUGAUUCUUCAAUACAUCAUAUUAUUUUGUUUUCUGGGAAGAUACUUAUGAUAUUUAAAAUCUUAUUCCUUUUACCACAUCUUAGAGGAUAUUCUUGUAAUGGAAAAUUGAUUGUAAAGUUGAAAAGUGUAUGUUUAUUUGGGCAUAUAAACAUGAUGGCAUGAAAACAUAAUCUAGUUUGAAGUUGUAAGUGCCUGUGAUAAAAUGCGGGUUUUUUUAGUGAUUGAAUUCACAGAAUGUACACUUCUGAGCAGACAGUUAAUUAGUUAGCAAGGUAAUCAGUAGAUGCCUGAGGAAAUAAAAAUCUCCUUAGAUUACUGUCGUGAGUUAGCAACACGACACAGGGUUCUCGUGCCAGGAAGAUUUCUUUAUUGCUGUGAUGAUCAUGAUCAUGAUGCUGUGUAUCUGUGCUUAUUCUUCUAAACAAGCCUUUUUAUAUUCUAACAUACGUAUUCAGUACAUUUCCACUAAUAAUCCAUUGGCUAGAAAGCAAGCAAGUUCCAUAACAAGUCUUCAUAAACAGCAGAGAGCUUAUCUUAUGCCUUGGUACAAAACACCCCUGUUUAUUCAGACCUUGUCUCCUUUUCAGAGCCUCAUUAUCAGCGAGUUGACAUUCAAUGAGGCCAAGCUGACUUCUCCAUCUCCCACAGAUUAUCGUUAUAUGAAAUACAAUAAAAAAUAUAAAUAUCCACUUCUAUUUGCCAAAAAGAUAUGAGUAUCUUGCAAAGGAACUGUUACAAGCUAUCAAGUAUAUCACAUAUGUAUACAGAUUUUUGAAAGCUCAAAAGCUAUGUAUGCAUCCAUAGUAACUUUGCUUUAGUCCCUCUGGUAAAUAAUUAGCAUUCUUUAACUGAUUAAAUAAAUAUUUAUAUUACAGAUUAGAAGUGGUUUCAAGGACUUAUUACAGGCUCUCUUUGUUGUAAAUGGGGUGGAAUGGCUCUGAUCUAAUCUCCUGAGUAAAUAACACAUUUUAUAAUUUUUAAUUAAAAAGGAAGAAGAGAAAAUUAUUUAAAACAAAUAUUUAAAUACCAUGAAGGAUUUGUUUCAGAAAGUGACAAAAGCCAUCAGGCUUAAAAACAAGAGAGCAUUUUUAUUUCUUUCUUAUUGUUAAAACAAAAUAAAUGUCAGUUACUGAAGUUUCCCUUCAGAACUUGUCCAGUGGGGCUAAGAAAUGAAGUCUGGCCUUCAAACUUAUGUGGGCCAGUUUACAAAAACUACUGUAACCUUAAGCUGAAUUAACUUCAAGUAGAUGUUCAGUAAGAUUUGCUUUCUAAUCUGCUUUAUGGAACAGCCGAAUCUGGAACAUGACUGGUAGUGUUAUAUUUUAUUUUAAUGUAGAAAGCAAUUAGCUAUGUUUGCUGAAAGAUCCUGCUCAAAGAUAAUGAAUUUCUGCAAUGGUUAAUCGUUAUAUUAGUCUUUAUAAUAAGAUAUCCACUCAAAAACAGCAUAAUAGAAUAUGUUAUUCCUCCUUACUUCUAUUAACAGGUGACUUAACCGCAGAAAAGAGAGAUCCUCACUCUCUUUUCACAGCUAUAAACAUAUUUACAGUGAGUGUGACAUAGUUUUCUCUCCCUUUGUUCAGUUGGAAAAGUAUUUCUGGCGAAGUAUUUCCAUUGCUGAGAUCCUUACUGUCUUAAAAUGCUUUGUAAGUUGUGCCCACUGUACAAAAUGUACUGUGAAAUUGUGGAGUAGAAGAGUAAAUCUCCUCUAUUAGGUAUAAAAAGGACAUACCAUGAAAGCAGCUCAGACAAGUCCAAAAGAGACUUAGUGUAUGCUUCAGGUAGCUUUUAGAAGAUGCAUGUAAGUAUAAAACCAAGACAAACUCUCCUAGCUGUCAAGUCCAGUCUUCUCUGUCAAUAUACAAAGUAGUACUUUUUUGAAGCCUAAAUCAUUUUUUGGCUGUUGUUGUUUGGAGGCAAUUGUUAUAAUCCCCCAUCAAUUUUCACCCUUUAUUUAAGUAAUAAGAUCUUCUGUUGUCUGUACGUAUUGUUCUUAGCUUUAUUUACUGACAGUGCAUCUCAAAGCUGUGGGCCAGAACUCUUCAUUAGGACAAUCCAGCCAAGAGAAAAGGCAAUGAUUAUUCACAAGACUGAUUGAAAGAGAUCUCUGUGGUCAGUCCAUCUUAUUCCCAAAAUUUUCUUUCUAUAUAAUCCAGUAUAAACUUCUUUAUCCUAUCUUUUAUCCAACUAAAAAGCAAUCCAUUUAUUGUCUAGUAGUUUUCCUUGUGGCAUCAUAUUAAAAGUUUAUGUCUAAAUCCUAAUGCCUGGAUCAAUUAGAUUUGUUUCAUUACAAAUUUCUAGAAAUUUGAAUAUCUUACCUAGACAAUGCAUAGGUGAUAGUCUCAUGCUAUUCAGCACCCUUUUCAUAUGCCUCCAUGAGUUUUAGUUGUCUCUACUAAAAAAAUAUUACAAAAACUUGCAUACUGUCAAAGUCAGAGAAAAGAGUAAGUACAGAGUUCUCAUUUUUUCCCCAUUUCUUAAGUGUAGAUACUAGAAAUCUAAAUCUUUAGCCAAGAAGUACAGUUAUCUUGGCUGUAUCUGUUAAGGGGAUUAAUAGUUCUUACUACUCAAUCCAAAUUUUAUAUGUAGCUUUUUAGACUUCCAGGAUAAAAAUCUCCAAAUUGAUUCUUACUUCAGCCCUUGAUUUACUAAUUCAAUUUUUAUACUGCUUUUUCCAUUAUCUUUUGAGAUCGUAAGCUAGUUACCUUCAUUAAUCAUAUCAGAAAAAGUGGCUAAGCUUAGACUUUCAUUUGGGUUCAUGAGAAUGUCGCCUUUAACCUUUGCUACAUCUUUACUGUGUAACGGGGCAGGAGCAUGAGUGUAGUGACUUUUCUUUUACUUUUUUCCUGUUCCUUAGAUUUUUGUUUUCUUGUGUUUGAGGAAGAUAUUUACCCAGGGAGCCUGCUACUCUUCCCACUACAUUUUCCACAUAUGUUUUCACGAGUCUUUUUUACACUGUUUGUCUUGAAAUUACCAAAUUCAGCAGUUUCUUGAUCUGUCCUUUGACCCUGCUGCCAACAGGUUCAUCAAUACUCUAAAAGUCUAAUAUAAUUUAUCUACUACAAAAUGCCAUGCAAACUUGCUCAGAAGCCAAAUAGAAGAGCCAUUGGUUACCCGGAGUAAAAAUCAUGCCAAAGAUCCUUCUAACAAUGCAAGAGUGAGAUAUGAGUAAUAGAGAACCAAAGGCAAUGUUUAAUUAACUAGUGCAGAUGACUCACUGUGUUCCCUGGCUUUUCAUGUUCACUGUAAAAGAGGACAGAAGGUUGUUUAAUUCUAAUGAGUUUCACACAUCUGGGAGUAAUUCUUAAAACUUAAACAUUCAUAAAGAAAUAUUUUUGGAUAAUUUUGCCAACUUUUUUAGAAAAAGAUGCCCAAUCCUCACAGUUUCAAAAAACUUUUGGAAAACACUAAGUAGUAACAAACUAAAGCUUUAGAAACCUGAAAUAUUUCCUAUCUAAUAGUAAAUGUCAUGUGAGGUUUCAGUUUUGAGCACUUCAGACUGUAGACCAUUUGUGACUAACAGAUCUCAUACAACUUCAACUUUGCUAAGCUGCAUUUACCUUGCAAGCUCUUUUUUAAUGAGUUUUUAGGCAGUCAAGCUGCUUGUAUAUUUACAGUCAAAUACAAAGGCCAUUGCAUAUUCUGUCUCCAAAUAGACAGCAAGGAGUCUGGAAUGGCCUAGGGGAUCUUUGACAUUCUCCUUGUUCGGAGGACCUGAAAUUAUACUAUACUAGUAUUUGAACAUUUUCUUAACUGGGAGAAAAAUUAAUGUUCUUUCAAAAGUGUAUAGAAUGUAGCUACAUAUGUAUUUCAGUUCAGUAGUACAGUUUCAUUAAUAAGUUACUCUGUUGUUUUGUUUUUUUAAUUUACCACUAGCGAAAGAAAAAUGAUCACCCACACUCUAAACUUUCCAUAGAUGGUAUUCUGAACUCUGUUGCUUUCUUCUCAUUUCAUUAUCAGUAGACUUUAUCAAGGUCUAUGAAAUAAGGACAGUGUUUCUUCUACAUUUUCACUCCAACCACACACUUAAUUUCACUACAACCUUCAUCUUUUGUCAGAGAAAACUGAGUUGAACAUGAAUCAGCACAUGUUCUUCUCAAAGUCUGCAUCACUCUUGUGUGAAACAUCACACAAUGAAAGCUAAUGUAUUAACCGAAGGAAGAAAAGAGCAACAUGAAUAAUAUUUGGCAAUGUGCUUUUCAUGGAUUCGUAAGAACCAUCAACAACAUUCAAAAAAAAUGAAACGAAACCAAACCAAAACAAAACUCCAAAAAACAAAUGAAGCGUGAGAUGUAUUGAGUGCCAAGACUCAGCCAAGUCACAGAGUAAAAUAAAGAUUCAUUAUUACUGGUGAUACAUGAGAAGAGGAGAUUCUCUAGGUCAGCUAAAUGAAAUCUAUUAUUACAUCUUGCACUUUGUCUCUGACACAAAAGUCCAUGUAUUUUUUUAUUUUUUUAUUUGUUGUUGUUGUUGUUGUUGUUGUUCUAUCCAAUAAGCUUCUUUGGGACAUGAUUCAUCCUUUCUGGUAGGCACUGUAUAAGAAUAUAGUCUUUCUCUAGUCAUAUUAUUUGAUUUCUGUUGAAAAGAAGGUUCCUGAUUUGCAUUAACACACAAAUAAUUUCCAAGCAGUGAAUCAGUCCCUUUGUUGUUGUUUUUUCCCUGAGGUAUUCCUCUGCAGUAAAGCUACUGAGAUUCUAUUUCAUGCAACUGUUAUCAGCACUAGUGGUUUUCAAGGCAAGUUUUGAGGCCAGACCACUCAAAGUAUUUGCUUUCACUUACAAUUGGAUCUGCUGAAUUUCUGAAUAUUCUUUUAUUUCAUAUAUUUCUAUUUAUAAUGCCAUGGAGAUACUCCUUUAUAAUCUUGAAUUUUCUUUAUAAGUUCAUUCAUGUGAUCUGAAAUUGGAUCUUGUUAUUUGUUUGGAGGCUUUCCUGUUUUUGGGGUUUUUUUUUUUCGGGGUUUUUUUUUUUUUGGCUUGCCUGUUUUGGUUUAAUUUUUAUUUUUGUAAGUUGCCAUUGAACAUACCUCCUGAGGAAAACAAUGUCAAUUUAUAGAGUCUGAACAGCUAAAAUUUUGUCAGCAUUAGGUUGAAAGAUGAUUGAUGUUCUCUGGAAAACAUAAAGUGCACCUAUUCUGGUUAUUUAUGUUUUAUAUUGACCAAAUAAUCACAUCCAAAUAAAUAACAAUUCAGUAAAUUCAUUUUAAAUGAAUUUUAACUCUUUACUGCUUCACUUGCAAAAUCUACGCACAGGUCAUUCAUCUCUGUCUUGGUAUGCUGCUAUGAGCAUCUUUCAAUUAUCUAAUUUCCUACUUAGCUUAAUAUCAUACCCACAAAUUAAAAGUAAUUUGUGUGUUCUUUAUGACUGUUUGUUGUCUUUCCACACAGAAGGAAGUCUGUUUCUUUUUAUUAAGUGUGCCAAUGACAUGCAAAGUGGUCUAACAUAAUCAGGAAAUCUAAAGUGAAGGUACCUAACAUGUCCUUGCCACCUGCCACUGUAUUAAACUAAAUAAAAAGAGGACAAGAAACAGGCACCAUAGUGAGGAUUAUGGAUGAAGUGUCAAGCAUUAUUUUAAAUCUUCUUACCUUCUGUCAACUUAAAUCACAUUCUUGAAAUCUGCUUGGCAGAGAGCAAGGAGGAAGCUCUGUGAAAUUCAUAAAUUAAAAACAUUUCUUUUGUCCUAUGAAAUGGUCUCACUCCUAACACAUACUCAGAUUAAUACCUGGUAAACAUGCUAGCACACAUAUAAGAUUUUAUCAUGUCUGCUGCUAUCAGUCCAGCAGAGCCAGCUCCAGCUGAGUGCAAGUGGAAGCUUCUCCAUAGAAAUAGCUAAGGUAAUGCUGCCAGCAGUCCAAAGCAAUCUGAGGCAAUGACUCAAUUUACUAAUGUCCUCAGGUCACCCAGGUGCCACAUCUGACAUAAAAUGAUGGCAAUGUGACUACACAGCUGUAACCAAGGGAAUGGGAAUAUCAGCAGGGUUGCAAAAAUGUACACAGGGGUAUGCUCUGACCUGGAGAACAUUUGCUACAAAGAACAAAGAAUGAGGCAGAAGAGAACUGACUCUGAUACCUCAUGUUGGAUGGAGAGAGAAAAACAAAGCACCAUUUUGUCAGCACUCUCUGUCCAUCCUUGAGCCUCAAAUUCACUGCCCCCUGCCAAAACACAGACCUAAAGUGUGCCCUCAUGGAGGGAUCUGAGAGUUCUUAAGAGAAGUUACUCUCAGGAUGCAAUCUGCCAAGACAAGGCUGGUCUUUAAGAUACACAGUUACCUAGUGACAUUCACUACUCUUCCUAAGGGUUUAUGUUCUCUGCAAUGUUCAGGGAGAAAACCUCAUAUUUAAGAAAGUGAAUCACAGAAAAUAGUUCACAGAGUAAUGAACAUCUGAGCCAGAGGACACAAAACAAUGAGAACAAACACAUAUAAUAAACUAUACCUUUCUCUCUGAAUUAGACAUUUUCCUGCAGGCCAGCAUAGGUUGUCUGUACCCAACGGAAGUGCAGCCCCUGAGUUCAGCAUCUGUGAAAACUCCAUCACAGAUCGGUUCAAGGGCUGUGGAGGCUUUGUGUU